UACGGGGGGUGCGAGCGUUGUCCGGAAUCACUGGGCGUACAGGGCGCGUAGGUGGCCUGAUAAGGGUGUGGUGAAAGUCCGGGGCUCAACCCCGGAUCGGCCGUGCCGACUGUUAGGCUAGAGUACUGUAGGGGCGGGCGGAAUUCCGGGUGUAGCGGUGGAAUGCGUAGAGAUCCGGAGGAAGACCGGUGGCGAAGGCGGCCUGCUGGGCUGUUACUGACACUGAGGCGCGACAGCAUGGGGAGCAAUCAGG
rnacentral:rRNA from 1 species